CUCACGGGCCUAUGGAACAUUCAUCAGCCAAUCAAAUUGCACGAUAGAGUGAUGUUGUGGUUGGCGGUAAUUUUCACUCUCUGGUAGACGGUGGUGUAUCAGUGAGAUCCUGCAGCUCGGGUCUCUACAGCUCUGUCCGCGGUAAAAGAGAGUCACAGUUAGUAAAAGUUCAACAAAACACUGUGAAUAAGCAGGUUUACUCACUGAGAGCUGAAAAUGAAGCUUCUUUACCGUCCAGCCCGCGAAAAUGUACUGUGAACUACCUGCAUUGGUCGGGUUUUUGUGCAAGGGAGAGAUUAGAUUUUGGUCCAUUGAGAUCAAUUGGAUGGGGAGCCAAGCCAAGCCAAGCUCGGACCAUUGAACCAGGACACUUUUCUGCAUGCAGCAAACUGAACAAGUGGAUCCCGGGACUCGUUCACCUCAGACACUGAGAAAAUUCACUUCAAAAUGCGCCCCCUGUGUGUAGCUGACGCUGUUGGGAAACUGCGGCUAGCGGCGCGAGAGAGUGGGAUACCCGACCCUAGAGCUACCUGACGCAGCCUGAAAGAGAGAGAGAAAGAGAGUGGGGGAGUGAUAGACGCUGAAAAAGAGCCAGAAACGACUCAAGCAUCUCAUUUAUUGGAAGGUGGCUUUCUACUAGAUUUUGGAGCAUUGCUGUGAGGAGUGACGAGAGCACGGACAAGAGCAGGAUGUUGAAUGAUCACCACCCAACCUCAGCUCAUCCCACAAAACGUACAGAUUCUCCUGUAGGAAAGGCAUGGCCAUGACUGCAUUUGCCACUCUGCAAGGACUAAGCUGUUCUUCACCCUUGAAGGUUCCAGCACUGGCACUCAGGCGAUAAAGACGAGGCUAAUGACUCACGUCUGAGUGAGCCGCUCCACAGUCUUCUUGGCCACCUCUCGCGCUGCAGGGUGCGACUUGCAGCCGUGCCACAGGUACAGCUGUCUCUCACACACACCCAGCAGGAUCAGACAGGCACGAGAGCGCAGACUGGCACUGCAGCACUCCACUUCCAACAGAGAGCCUUCUACUGCUGCCUCUCCGCGCACGCAGAACAGCCGCCAGCCACCUGACACACAAACAAACAUGCACUUCUAUUACUAUCCUCACAGAGUUUACUUUAUGUAGAUCUGUGAAUUGAAGCAAAUUUAUACUGCCAUGCCAACAUUCAAACAUACAGUAAUUCCUGCACCCCGAGUCAUAUAUAGAUAUUGUUCAAGAUUCAGUCCUAUUCUAUUAUUCUGAACCCACUCUAGAUUUUGAAGAAACUAGAAUAUAAAACAUGUUUUCAGUUAUUUCACCUUUUUUUUUGUUAAGUACAUAACUACACGUAUAUAAUAAAUUGCUUAUUUUUU